rnacentral:lncRNA from 1 species
GGCCUUCAGAGUAUAGCAGUUCAAAGAAUGCUUACCUGACAAAUGGAAUCCGAAGUUGGCAGAGGCCUGAAGACAAAGGCUACAAAUACAUCUGGAAAUUUCACUGAUUCUACAUUUAAAAUAUCUUCAGAAUUUAGGAAGUUCUUCAGACAAAAGGAAUAUGAGACCAACCAUAAAAUUUGAUAUACAUCAAGAAAUGAAGAACAUUAGAACUGGAAUCAAGCAAGAUCUUGAAGAUUUAACUUAGAAUCACUUCACCGGCUCUGUGAAGAAGCGAAACAAAGCUGUAUUCAGCCUUUCAUUAUGUUUCAAUUAAUUAUGAUCCUUGGAACAAUUUGGGCACAAGAAUUUCAACUGUCAAAUUUGCCUUCUGGGAUGCUUUUCUUCCACAGAUUAGUGUUUCUCAAAAGCAUCCCAUAAAAAUAAUGACCCUGACAUUCUUGACAAACAAAGCAUCUCCUUUUUCUUUCAACAGUUCUCUUUGAGCUAGGAGAUACAAUUUUACAUCUAUAAUUACAUAGCAAAGUCUAUUUCAAAAACACUUUUAAAAACUGGCAUUCUGUGUCCUGCAGAUGAUGAAACUCAGGCUCUGUUUUUGAGGAACAUAUACUUUGUGAAUGAUUAAAAAAAAAAUCACAGAAACUUGGCUGAUGGCCAGAUAUAACUGAUGAAUUUUUAGGCAGCUAUUAAAAUGUUUGCCUUUCAAAGCAGUUCUUUGGAAAAGGAAGCCAUGCCCCCUUGGAACCACCUAUCAAACUUAUUCUAUUAUUUGCUGCCACAGCUGUCAUUAAUUACAUGUGAGAGGAGCUUCAUCUCUAUAUAAACAGCUGGAAAAUCAACAGAUAGUAUUCCUUCACCAGAUGUUUUUUUGAAUAUGUGUGUACAAAGCUCUGUACUGUGUCUCAUAUAGGUAGAAAAUAUGAGACAUGACUUCCUCAAGGAUUUUAUAAGUAAAUAAGGGAGAAGAGACAUUUAUAUAAUUGAUUAUAUCAUAAGGAAGAAAGAUUAAUUUUAUUUUAAUGUAGAAAACAGAAAUAUAAUCUUAACAUAAGAAGAAUCCUUGGUCUUCAUUGUCAUUUCACUGGGUUGCUUUACAAUGUACCAUACUUCUUGUCAUUCCCAGCACCUCCCACAAAUGAAUACAGGCACAGACGCUUAAGAUGUUCUUUUCUCAUAGUAUAAGCUUCAGAAUUUACACACAGCUACCUUGGCUGAGGGUUUUUCCAUACUAAGCAUAAAAUAAAUUCU